UACAGAGGUCUCAAGCGUUGUUCGGAUUCAUUGGGCGUAAAGGGCGCGUAGGCGGCCGUCCAAGUCGGGUGUGAAAUCCCUCGGCUCAACCGAGGAACUGCACUCGAUACUGGUCGGCUAGAGUCCGGGAGGGGAUGGUGGAAUUCCCAGUGUAGCGGUGAAAUGCGUAGAUAUUGGGAAGAACACCGGUGGCGAAGGCGGCCAUCUGGACCGGAACUGACGCUGAGGCGCGAAAGCCAGGGGAGCGAAUGGG
rnacentral:rRNA from 1 species